GAUGAACGCUGGCGGUAUGCUUAACACAUGCAAGUCGAACGGUCACUUCGGUGAUAGUGGCGGACGUGUGAGUAACGCGUUAGAAUCUGUCUUCAGGUCGUGGACAACAGUUAGAAAUGACUGCUAAUACCGGAUGUGCCUUUGGGUGAAAGAUUUAUUGCCUGAAAAAGAGCUCGCGUCAGAUUAGCUAGUAGGUGGUGUAAGAGACUACCUAGGCUCCGAUCUGUAGCUGGUCUGAGAGGACGAUCAGCCACACUGGAAAUGAGACACGGUCCAGACUGCUACGGGAGGCAGCAGUGGGGAAUUUUCCGGAAGGGGCGAAAGCCUGACGGAGCAAUACCGCGUGAGGGACGAAGGCUUUUGGGUCGUAAACCUCGUUUCUAAAGGAAGAUGAUGACGGAACUUGAGGAAUAAGCAUCGGCUAACUCUGUG
rnacentral:rRNA from 1 species